rnacentral:rRNA from 1 species
UACGUAGGGGGCGAGCGUUGUCCGGAGUUACUGGGCGUAAAGCGCACGCAGGCGGUCUGCUAAGUUUGGAGUGACAGUUGGUGGCUUAACUGCCAAAGUGCUUCGAAAACUGACAGACUUGAGGGCUUCAGAGGGACACGGAGUUCCGGGUGUAGCGGUGGAAUGCGUAGAGAUCCGGAAGAACACCGGUGGCGAAGGCGGCCCGCUGGGCUGUUGCUGACGCUGAGGCGCGACAGCGUGGGGAGCAAACAGG